UACGUAGGGUGCAAGCGUUAAUCGGAAUUACUGGGCGUAAAGCGUGCGCAGGCGGUUUUGUAAGUCUGACGUGAAAUCCCCGGGCUCAACCUGGGAAUUGCGAUGAAGACUGCAAGGCUUGAAUCUGGCAGAGGGGGGUAGAAUUCCACGUGUAGCAGUGAAAUGCGUAGAGAUGUGGAGGAACACCGAUGGCGAAGGCAGCCCCCUGGGUCAAGAUUGACGCUCAUGCACGAAAGCGUGGGGAGCAAACAGG
rnacentral:rRNA from 1 species